GAGAUUUCAUCAUACAACAAUCCUACCCAAAAUGCUGGCAAUGCACACAAUCUCCUCCAAGGCCCUCCAUCAGCACCCCUCAUUUCCAAGUAUCGCUUCAAUCUGACCUCAGGAAAAAUUGUUGUUAAGUGAUUCUCCCAAUCAUCAAGGGUUGGCAAUUCACCAGGAAUGCAAGGAAGUUUUCCAGCCAUAAAGUCCCUGAAUGACAUUCCAGUGCAGUCAAUAUACUUCU
rnacentral:misc_RNA from 1 species